AUGCAACCACCAGGGCUGCAAACCCCGCGGAAGGUGGGGGGAGAGAUCGAGAGAAUGGUAUCCCAUAUCUGAGGGGGCCAGGAAAAGUGUCUGGAAAAGUUGGAGAGGGAGGAGAAACCGUUCCUAUCGAGAGGGCGGGUAGGAAUCUCUCCCGCAGCGAAGAUGGACUAGGGAGAUUUUUCAAGCGAGGAGAGCCUUGCAACGGAAUCUACCCGCAGCAGCGUCGAGAAGGGGAUGUGAGGGAUCGACGAGGGGAUCGGAGCAGGAGCGGGGGUGGGUGAGUUCUCUCUUCCCCGCCCCGAUCGCCCGGGAUCUUAGGCGCUCUCCACCGGCCUCCCCCAAAGUUCGUGGGCAUGCCGUGGGGACACAAAGGGAGCCGUUACUCAGCCCUGCCCAUCCCACUUCGAGACAUCCGGCGCUACUCGCAGGGAAAGCAGCGGCUGCCCCCGCCUGGUCGAGCCCAGGAUCGCCAUAGACCUCGGAUCGGCCAUUUUUGGGGGAUCACUUUGUCCAGGUUCGCUUCGAAGAAGCCGUGGAGAGUGCAAGCCUGGAAGGCGCGC